rnacentral:rRNA from 1 species
GCUACGGGUGGCAGCAGUGAGGAAUAUUGGUCAAUGGGCGGAAGCCUGAACCAGCCAAGUCGCGUGAGGGAAUAAGGCCCUACGGGUCGUAAACCUCUUUUAUAAAGGAAUAAAACGAGGCACGUGUGCCUUUUUGCAUGUACUUUAUGAAUAAGGAUCGGCUAACUCCGUGCCAGCAGCCGCGGUAAUACGGGGGAUCCGAGCGUUAUCCGGAUUUAUUGGGUUUAAAGGGAGCGUAGAUGGGUUGUUAAGUCAGUUGUGAAAGUUUGCGGCUCAACCGUAAAAUUGCAAUUGAUACUGGCAGUCUUGAGUACAGUUGAGGUAGGCGGAAUUCGUGGUGUAGCGGUGAAAUGCUUAGAUAUCACGAAGAACCCCGAUUGCGAAGGCAGCUUACUAAACUGUGACUGACAUUGAUGCUCGAAAGUGUGGGUAUCAAACAGGAUUAGAUACCCUAGUAGUC